GCUGGGUGUGGUGGCUCACACCCGUAAUCCCAGCACUUUGGGAGGCUGAGGUGGGAGGAUCACUUGAGCCCAGGAGUUCGAGACCAACCUGGGCAACAUAGUGAUCUCCCCUCUCUA
rnacentral:SRP_RNA from 1 species